AAAUCUCACUAAAUCUCUAAAAAUCUAUGCAAAAUCUUUUCAAAUCUACAAAAUCCUUAUCAUAUCUCAACAAGAUCUUCAUGAGAUCUAUAUACACAGAACAAAGGGAAACGACAUUGGUCAAUACACACACGAAUGAGGAUAAAACCCUCAUAUCCUUUCUCUCAUUUCACGCACACAACCACAGUUCUCAUCUCUCCUCUGCAUCAUUGAAAGAAAACCCUAAGCUAACAAAAAACACAGACCUUAAAAACCCUCAUCUUCCCAACCUUUUCACAAAAUUAGUUCAUCAAAACACUCUCGUGCACACAAGCAGUCCCACUCUCCCUCUCGAAUUCCUUUCACCUCUCCUCAGUGACCGGCGGUCGGUGAAAUGGUGGAGCCGGCGGUUCGUUUUGGCAGGCGAGAAACACCCCACCCACCCUCUUCUUCUUGGGUGAGACCACUGGCGGCGAUGGUUUCUCUAGGAGAUGACGACAUCACACAGCCCCCCCCCCCUCCGAUGAGCUUCCGAUGACAUCAAUCAGGCAGAGAGCAGGGAAAAAGAGAGUGAGAGAGAUGAGGCGGAGCAGCGCCGCCGCUGACGGCGGCGGCAGUGGAGAAGGCGGCGGUGGUGUCAUUUUAUUCCGACGAAAGUCACCGACGACCUCAGAUGAUAUUGAUGACGGUGGUGGUCCGACGGCGGCGAGGCCACCGGAACCACGCCGUUUACGGCAGCUGAGUUGGUGUUGUCCAGUUUGAGUUUCAGCUUUGGUUCAAGUUCAGAGAUGGUUAUUUUAUUUCAAGCUAUUUUAAGCAUGGUUCGGGGUUAGCUCGGGUGCGGUACACGAUUAGUUUCGGCUCAGUACAACAGGUUCGGGUCAGAUGUCGUUCGGGUCGGUUCGAGUUAGUCGGCUCGGGUCAGAAAGGAAGCGGUUCGGGUUGACUCGGUCAAACCGAGUCAACUCAGUCAACAAGAAGCUGACUCGGUCAACUCAGUUGACCCAGUCAACAUCAGUUGACCCGGUCAACUCAGUCAGGCGCUUCGACUUUUCGGCGUGAAGACUCGGUAAAGAAUUUAGCACGCGAACAUUAUUUACGUUAAUUAAUUUAAUUAUUUCGUGACUAACGAGCUCGAACCGGUUCGAUUAGUAAUUUAUUUAUGACAUUUUGACGAAAACUACAUAUACAUUGUCGUUACGUUACGUUGAAUUGUUGUUGAUUGAAUUUCGAAAUUAUAACGACACUUUAGUUGUCGGGGGCGUCCAAAAACAGAGGAAACUCUGCCCGUUUUUCAAGAAAAUCCGUAAAAACAAGACGCGUCUUAUUAUAUAACGAAAACAAAUCGGAUUCAAACGACUUUAUACUAAUGCAUGUUAUUUCGACGACACUUACAACUUACGAGAACAACGAUACGGAAAUUAUUUUGACAACAAAAAUAAAUAUAGUUAUUAUUAUAUUUAUCUAUAAUACUAUAAAAAGGAGAAGUGAUGGACAGGGAUGUAAUUUUACAUCAUGUACAACAUUGGAAGCAGCAUACACAACACUUUGUAAGCAGAGAAAAUAGAAAAGGGUUUGGUAUUUUAAGACGCUAAAGGGUAGCCUAGGGAUUUCACUCCUACUGUUCCUUCAUUUUCCAUCAUCGAUUGAAAUUGAAUGCGAUCUUUUGGUAUUCGCCGUCCCCAUCUACCCUAUAACCUGAUUUUUAAUUCUUAAAGCUUCUAUCAAUGUCGAUGAAUAUCAUCUUCCCCCUAAUCAAAGAUCAUAUGUCCCACUCGGGUUUCUGUUCGAGGUAGCAACUUCUUCUUAUCAAAUUGAAGGUGCAUAUCUUGAAGAUCUAUACUAGGCACGAGAGCAUUUUUCAUCAGGAUUAAAGUCAUGAAGAAGGAUUGGUUUGAAGGGAAAGAGUGUCUUGAUAUUGGCAGCAAUAAUGGAUUAAUAACAAUUACAAUUGAUUGUAGAUAGCCUUCAUCUACGUCCGGAAAUACUAAGGCAAAGGCGUUUUGAAUUGCAUGGAAAUUCAUUUAGGGGGUUUGCCCUUCGUCUGGCACAGAGUAGGUUGUUUUUCAAAAUGGAUUGGGUAACAGGAUGAAUUCUUGAUUUACUGAUCUGACUUGGGGGCAUGAGGUUUGGAAUUGGUGAAUUUUGGUGAAUUCAGGUGGGGAGGGUAAGUGAGAAUUGAGAAGAUGACGGAUGCUCGGUUACAAUGGUUACAGAAGCCGGAGAGUAUGACGGAUGCGUGUUCGGAAUAGGAGAGGGAUGGUGAUUUUGAGAGGGAGUUGGAAGAGUUGAUGAGGGGGCAGUUGGUAACUCUCAUCGCAGAUCCUGGCUUCAGCGAAUCGCGACUACCAUUGGAUAAAAAAUCAACAACUAUGAAGUCAUCAAGUAAUGGUUGUGUAUUCUUGAGGAGGCUUAGGUGCUCCGGAUGUUGGUUGUACGCCUGCAAGUCAUCCUGUUGACCUGAAACGACAGUGGAUUAUGUGACUGACGUUUGGUGAAGUGCAGGUAGACUGGAGGAUUUUUCCUACACUGAGAUGGGGUGUGAAGUUGAGUGAAAUCAAUCCGUUGACUUCAUUUAUCAUGGUCUCGGCUUUGGUAGAGUCAACGUCGGGUUUGACACCGAGGAGAACGAUGUGUUCGACAAUUUGAUGGUGUGCAGACAUUCUGGUAACUGCAAUCAGAUGGUGAGUGUGUCUGAAUAGUGAACAUUGAUCAUGUUAUGUUCACUAUUUAUUUCCAUGUAAAGUAUAAACUUAGGUUGGCUGGUGGAUUUUUUUUUAUUGGGACAGUUCACCUAAUGUUUAAAUAAUUAAAUUUUUAAUUACUUAACAAAUAAAUAGUCAAAUAAACAUAUUUAAAGUUUGGCCAGCAGCCACCACUAUUUUUUAUGCUUUAAAACUAAUUGGAAUCUUUAAAGCAUGACUUUGUAGUGUUCUAUCUUGUUUAUAUUAUUAGUGUAUUCUUUUAUACAUUAGUCAUGAAUGUAGAUGAGCCAGAGGAAAAUGAAAUUAAGGGCUUCUUACCUGCAACCUUUAAAUUGUUGAAGUAUCAAUCAACAUUUUUAAUAAA